CUUAACGUUUUGUCCUUCUUUUCUACAAAAAAGAAGCCGGCUCCCACUGGGGAAGAGGAUGGUCUGAUAUGCCCCAGUGACAGAGCUUCUUGAACAUACUCCUCCAUGGCGACCUUCUCAGGACCUGAUAGGUUGAACAAACGGCCUUUAGGAAGCGAGGCACCGGGUAGUAAGUUAAUCGCGCAGUCGUAGGGGCGGUGAGGUGGAAGAGCGCUGGCCUUGGCCUUACAGAAAACGGAUUUGAGAUCGUGAUAACACGGAGGGAUUUUAGACAGAUCAACAUUACUAGAAUCUUCAGAGCGGGAAACAGAAACAGUGGGAACUGCGGAUAGCAGACAAUUGGCGAGGCAAUAUGAACUCCAAUUAGUAAUGGUGCCUUGGGACCAGUUGAACUGAGGGUUGUGUAGUUUUAACCAGGAAAACCCUAGGACAAUGGGGUUUUGCGGAGACUGCGUGAUGAGAAGUUGAAUGGAUUCUCUAUGGUUACCUGAUGACACGAGCAGGAUGGGUUUGGUCCGAUGGGUAAUGCGUGACAGAUGUUGGCCACCCAGGCCCGAAGCCUCUAUGGGAAUUUCCAGUGGUUCUGUGGGUAUGGAGAGUUCAUUAACUAGUUGCUGAUCAAUGAGACUCUGCUCCGCCCCGGAGUCAACAAGAGCACGAAAAUCAUGAGCAUGAGUUUUAAGGCAGAGCUUAAUAGGAAUAAGCAAAAAUUCUUUACCAGAAUUGGCUAAUGCCCCCAGCGACCUGUCGUUUUGCGUGGUGUUCUGUGGUUUACGGAGAGGGCAGGUGGAGACCAGAUGACCCUUAGUUCCACAAUAGAAACAGGAACCUUCUUCUCGUCUUUUACGGCGUUCAUCUUCAGUUAAUUUCGAGUGGCCGAUUUGUAUCGGUUCCUCCAGAUAUUUUGCCGUGGCAGGAGCUUCAAUAAGAGGAGUAUUUUUGGCAGUAGAGAUGCUAAAUGGGCUAGUCACCGGUUGAAAAAGAAUUUGUGUGCGUUCUAAUUGACGCUCGCUUAAACGAAUUUCGGAGCGGAGAGCCGCCGUGACUAACUGUUCAAAAGAGCGUGCUUCUGGUUGGGCGCAGAGGUGGUCUUUUAUUCUCUCAUUUAAUGACUGGUAAAAAACACCUUUGAGUGCCAGGUCGGGCCAUCCAGCUUCAAUUAAUUUUAAUUCAAUUUUUAAUUAAUUCAACUGCUAAAAUACGAAAAUCAAUGACGUGGUCGCUGACUGAUCGAUUGUUUUGUUUGAGGUUGAGUAAGCAUCGAGUAGCUUCCUCCUGUUUCCGGGGUUGAUCGAAUAUUAGGCAAAAUUCACGGAGGAAAUGGUCAUAUGAAAGACGUGCAAUGGGGUUAGCAGAUAUGAAGGCCUGCGCCCAACGGAGGGCUUUAUUUCUGAGAGAAUUGACAAUAAGGGUGAUUUUGUUGUGGUCGGUCUGGUAAUAUCUGGGGGCUUGCUGGAAAAUCAGCUGGCUUUGUAAUAAAAAUCCACCGCAGGCUGUGACGUCACCAUGAAAUGGUUCCGGUAGGAGGCGGAAAUUUUCCGGUAGUUCGGCUGAACCGGAAGCGGAAGUGGGACUGUUGCCGGAACAUGAGGAAGGAUCGGGAACUGUGGAAUGACCAGAGAGGUUGGAUAUAUUAUGUAGUGUUCGUGAAAUAACCUGGAUCCGCGAAAGUAGAUCUUCCUGAAGGGCAGUAAUUCUUGAGAUGGCGUUGGAGUGGAGUUCCAAAAAGGCUCCUUGUUGAGAGAGGGCGAGGCGAAAUCCUUCCGAGUCAGCUGGGUCAGGAGUAUUUUCCAGUCCGUUCUGUCAUGGCGAGCGUAACGAAUAGACCCAGACGCUGGAACCCGGAAGAAACACAGGUGAGUACGUGGUGGAAUGAAAGAAGGUUUUAAUAUUGAUUCUUGGUUUGUGGAUUGUUCUUGGUGGAGUUGACGUCCUUGGAGGAACCCGCGGCGAGGAUGGUUCGGUCCGGUGGCCCGUGGCGUCACUGGUGGGUCGGCAGAGGCUCGUGGUGUCUCUAGAGUUACGGCAGAGGCUCUAGGCGUGACAGGAGGGAAUGCUGUGGCUUGGAUCCGUGGAUGAAGAAGACUCAGACGACCACUCGUGUUUAUGGACUCCUGGGAACAAGGGGCAACGGACUGGCGAUGAAUACUGGUCCAGGGGCUCCUUAAGAAGACAGGCAGGUGAUGAGUCUGACCUUGAGGUGAAUUUGGGACCUUCGCUCUUGAGGCCGUCUGCAGACAUGGGAGUCCUUUUGUCUGUAAGUGAAUUUUCAUUUGCAGAGUCAAACUUCAGAACUGUAGAUAUUAUUUAUGCCCUCUUUGUAAGAUAAAUGUGCAUCGACAGCUUUUCCCUUUGGCCUGACUCAGUCGGACUCACAGCGUUUUAUGAACACAGAGCUAUUUAUUUUCCGUUUUUUAUGACACAAAAUAAACAAAAAAAUGGUUUUAAAUGAAAUACAUCAGGUGAUAAUUCUUAUUUAGUACUGAGGAUGCUGAAAAAUACGACUUAAAGUGCAAGAAAUUAAUUGUUUUUAAGGAACAAAAACCUGCUAUCUGACAUUCAUCAUGCUGGGCGGUGGGGUGGGGGGUCAACUCAUGGGGAUGAUGCAGAAUUUUUGCCCUGGAAUGGAACCAACAAUCAUGAAAACAAUAUGGAACCUAGGUCAAUAAUAAACGUCUUUAUGACUAUAGGAACCGUUUUUACAUUAAAGUACACAUUCAGAAAAAAGCUACUUUAAUAAAGAGGGUUGUUUGUGUAAAUAACAUUCUUAUUAAUCCUAGACGGUUAAAAGUUGUGUCUGCUGCUCAAUAGUAACCUUAAAAUCCUAGAAGUUCACAGAAAAAAUGAAAAGUUAUGUCAUUGAUGAAAGUUUUAGGCUCAAUAUUUAAAAGUCAGUUAAAGGUCAAUGUUUUAAAAUAAAAUAUUUAUGCAUAAAGUCUGUUUUAUUCAGAAACUUAGCUGGAUAAAAAAAAAAGAACGCCAAAGUGGAGGAAAGAGAUGCUGACAUUUAUUUCUGUGUCCAUCCAUUGAAGCAAAAGGGAGAAACAGGAAGUGAGAGCUGCAUCAAAUCCGGCCUGCUUGCAGUGGGAAAGUUAAACACCUCGACAGACGUGAUGAGCAGAACAGACGUGUUUGUGACACCGUUAUCUUCCUCCUGGCUCCUCUUGACCUGACUUUUCUGAUCUGCUCCCCCAACAUCUUUGUCCAAGUUUCCAAACUGCAGAACAUUUUCCUGAGAGUCUUUGUAUGUUGAGAGGUCAGGUACCGAUCCUUGACACGGACGGAGGAACUGAAGGGGAAAUUUUCUUCUCGCCAGAUGAGCAAAGUGUCAGGAAUGGAAACGUGUUUUCUAAAAUGACAGAGGAGUCAAACUAGAUGCCUCGUUUUUGAGCUUCCUUUGACGCAGACGCACUUCCUGUCGUUUUCUGUCGUGAGCUGAUGAGCAAACAGACGAAAAGCAGAAUUUAGUUUCUUUUGAAACUGGAAAAUCCUUUCAGAGCAGCUCGCACUGCAGACGUGUUGAUGUGGGGGUCGAAACAGGGUGGGGGGUUAAGAUGCACGUCACGUCAUGUUGUUGUUGUUUACUGCGUUGUUGACUGCUCUAGUUUCUAAACGUGACCAGAAGAAACGGAAAAUUAAACAAACAGAUUUUUCUGUUUGUCAUUUUCCAAUCACACUUCCUUCAUUUAGCUCCAAAACGUCCAUCUCCCAACAUACACCGAGCUUUUAACCUUUACAAUGACACCUCCUCCUACAGAACAUCACCGUGGUAACCACACGCACCCUCUGAGCUGCUCAAAGUUCAGUUUAACUUCAUGAAAAAAUUUCAAAUGAGACUAUUUUUAAGUAAUAAAGUCGUCAGAUGAAAUUCCACCUUAGUGCUGGCUCACAAAAAUAGGAACAACACCUUUGUUCAGGUGAAACUUUAGCAAAAAAAUAUCCUCUCUGCCACCUUCACCUUCCUCAUCCUCCGUCCAAAAACUGGUUUUACUAAAAAAAAAGGAACAAAAAAAGUCUUUACUGACAUUUAAGAUGAGCACAACUCAUUUGAACUUUAUGAAAUAAAAAGACGUCAAGAAGAACAGUAAAUGCUGAUCUGAAGGUAAAUCUAAGCAAAAUACUGCAUCAGAUG